rnacentral:rRNA from 1 species
CGGCGAGUGAAGCGGGAACGGCUCAAAUUUGUAAUCUGGCGGUCCACGGCCGUCCGAGUUGUAAUCUGGAGAAGCGUUUUCAGCGCCGGCCCGCGUACAAGUCCCCUGGAACGGGGCGUCGCAGAGGGUGAGAAUCCCGUCUCUGACGCGGUUCGUGCCGGCGCGUUGCGAUGCGCUCUCGAAGAGUCGAGUUGUUUGGGAAUGCAGCUCAAAACGGGUGGUAAAUUCCAUCUAAAGCUAAAUACUGGCGAAAGACCGAUAGCGAACAAGUACCGUGAGGGAAAGAUGAAAAGCACUUUGGAAAGAGAGUCAAACAGUACGUGAAAUUGUUGAAAGGGAAACGCUCCAAGUCAGUCGCGUCCGCCGGGACUCAGUCGCCCCUCUCGAGGAGCGACGUACUUCCCGGGUCGGGACGGGCCAGCGUCGAUUUCGACCGUCGUACAAAGGCGCGAGGAACGUGGCACCUUCGGGUGUGUUAUAGCCUCGCGUUCCGCAUGCGACGGUGGGGAUCGAGGAUCGCAGCGCGCCUCCAACGGUCGGGGUUCGCCCACGUAACGCGCU